rnacentral:rRNA from 1 species
UUGGGAAUAUUGGACAAUGGGCGCAAGCCUGAUCCAGCCAUGCCGCGUGUGUGAAGAAGGCCUUUUGGUUGUAAAGCACUUUAAGCGGGGAGGAGGCAACUUGGGUUAAUACCCCGAUGUUGCGGACGUUACCCGCAGAAUAAGCACCGGCUAACUCUGUGCCAGCAGCCGCGGUAAUACAGAGGGUGCGAGCGUUAAUCGGAAUUACUGGGCGUAAAGCGCGCGUAGGCGGCUUGUUAAGUCGGAUGUGAAAUCCCUGGGCUCAACCUAGGAACUGCAUUCGAUACUGGCAAGCUAGAGUGUGGGAGAGGAAGGUAGAAUUCCAGGUGUAGCGGUGAAAUGCGUAGAGAUCUGGAGGAAUACCGAUGGCGAAGGCAGCCUUCUG